rnacentral:misc_RNA from 1 species
CGAUAAGUAGUGUGAAUUGCAGAAUUCAGUGAAUCAUCGAAUCUUUGAACGCACAUUGCGCCCUUUGGUAUUCCAAAGGGCAUGCCUGUUCGAGCGUCAUUUGUACCCUCAAGCUUUGCUUGGUGUUGGGCGUCUUGUCUCCAGUUCGCUGGAGACUCGCCUUAAAGUAAUUGGCAGCCGGCCUACUGGUUUCGGAGCGCAGCACAAGUCGCGCUCUCUUCCAGCCAAGGUCAGCAUCCACAAAGCCUUUUUUCAACUUUUGACCUCGGAUCAGGUAGGGAUACCCGCUGAACUUAAGC